rnacentral:sRNA from 1 species
CCAUAGCCCUGAUAGCAGCGGCAUCCUUUAUUUGCGGGGUACAGCCAUAAAAAUGGCUGUACCCCGCAAAUAAAGAUAUAGCGAAUAGCAAGAAAUGGC